rnacentral:rRNA from 1 species
GACAGAGGGUGCAAACGUUGUUCGGAAUUACUGGGCGUAAAGCGUGUGUAGGCGGCUACGUAAGUCGGAUGUGAAAGCCCCGGGCUCAACCCGGGAAGUGCACUCGAUACUGCGUAGCUUGAGUUUCGGAGAGGUUGGUGGAAUUCUCGGUGUAGAGGUGAAAUUCGUAGAUAUCGAGAGGAACAUCGGUGGCGAAGGCGGCCAACUGGACGAAAACUGACGCUGAGACACGAAAGCGUGGGGAGCAAACAG